AAUGAACGCUGGCGGCGCGCCUAAUACAUGCAAGUCGAGCGAGAAGACGUAGCAAUACGUUUGUAAAGCGGCGAACGGGUGAGGAAUACAUGGGUAACCUACCCUAGAGUGGGGAAUAACUAGCCGAAAGGUUAGCUAAUACCGCGUACGCUCCUUGGACUUCGGUUCAGGGAGGAAAGCGAUACCGAGGGUAUCGCGCUCUUGGAUGGGCUCAUGUCCUAUCAGCUUGUUGGUGAGGUAACGGCUCACCAAGGCUUCGACGGGUAGCUGGUCUGAGAGGACGAUCAGCCACACUGGCACUGCGACACGGGCCAGACUCCUACGGGAGGCAGCAGUAAGGAAUAUUGCGCAAUGGGCGAAAGCCUGACGCAGCGACGCCGCGUGGGGGAGUGAAGGGU
rnacentral:rRNA from 1 species